AGUGAACGCUGGCGGUAGGCCUAACACAUGCAAGUCGAACGGCAGCACAGUAAGAGCUUGCUCUUACGGGUGGCGAGUGGCGGACGGGUGAGGAAUACAUCGGAAUCUACUUUUUCGUGGGGGAUAACGUAGGGAAACUUACGCUAAUACCGCAUACGACCUACGGGUGAAAGCAGGGGAUCUUCGGACCUUGCGCGAUUGAAUGAGCCGAUGUCGGAUUAGCUAGUUGGCGGGGUAAGGGCCCACCAAGGCGACGAUCCGUAGCUGGUCUGAGAGGAUGAUCAGCCACACUGGAAGUGAGCCACGGUCCAGACUCCUACGGGAGGCAGCAGCGGGGAAUAUUGGACAAUGGGCGCAAGCCUGAUCCAGCCAUACCGCGUGGGUGAAGAAGGCCUUCGGGUUGUAAAGCCCUUUUGUUGGGAAAGAAAAGCAGCAGGUUAAUACCCCGCUGUUCUGACGGUACCCAAAGAAUAAGCACCGGCUAACUUCGUG
rnacentral:rRNA from 1 species